AUGGAGUUGGGGGGAAUUUGGUUUUUCCUUGUUUUUACUAUAAAAGGUAUGCAGUGUGAGGUGCAUCUGGUGAAGUCUGGAGGAGGGUUAGUGCAGCAUGGGAAGUCCCAGAAACUCUCCUGUGCGGCCUCUGGAUUCACAUUCAGUUGCUAUGCCAUGAACUGGGUCUGCCAGGCUCCAGGGAAGGGGCUGGAGUGGGUCGCAUAUAUUAAUGCUGACAGUAGUUACAUUUACUAUGCUAACGCUGUUAAGGGCAGAUUCACCAUCUCCAGAGACAAUUCCAAGAACUCCAUGAAUCUGCAAAUGAACGACCUCAAGUUUGAGGACAAGCCAUGUAUUGCUGUGGAAGAGACACAUGACCAUUACAUGCACUGGGUCUGCCAGGCUCCAGGAAAGGGGCUGGAGUGGGUCUCAAGCAUUAGUGGUACUAGUCUAUUAAUCUACUAUGCAGACACUGUGAAGGGACGAUUCACCAUCUCCAGGGACAACACCAAGAAGACCCUGAACCUACAAAUGAACAAUCUCAAGUCUGAGGACACGGCCAUGUAUUACUGUGCAAGAGACACA